rnacentral:sRNA from 1 species
UUCCGGCGAAUAAUCGCCUUCAGAUGGGCC